rnacentral:piRNA from 1 species
UGGGAGUUCUGACCUGAUCCAUUUCUGAC